UACGUAGGGUGCAAGCGUUGUCCGGAAUUAUUGGGCGUAAAGAGCUCGUAGGCGGUCUGUCGCGUCGGAUGUGAAAACCCGGGGCUUAACCCCGGGCCUGCAUUCGAUACGGGCAGACUCGAGUGUGGUAGGGGAGACUGGAACUCCUGGUGUAGCGGUGAAAUGCGCAGAUAUCAGGAGGAACACCGGUGGCGAAGGCGGGUCUCUGGGCCGAUACUGACGCUGAGGAGCGAAAGCGUGGGGAGCGAACAGG
rnacentral:rRNA from 1 species